AUGAAAACAGCACAUGAUUUUACCACAUCAAGUAUUAAUACCAUGCACACAAGUAUGGGCUUGAAUUACAAAGACCCCAUCCCUAAUCAACAUGAGCAGCAGUCUAAAAGUUCAAACUUUCUCAUGUUUUAGUUGCCCGGCGUUCCAACACCAUGAAAGGCCCAUGUUUUAGUUGCCCGGCGUUUCAACACCAUGAAAGGCCCAAUGGUACAGUUUUUGACUCUUUUUUAGAACUAUCAGACCAACCUCCACCAGAUAACACCUAAGUCAGACUGCCUCCAACUAGUAACCACGUGGUCCACGUCUCUGCCACAUAAGACAAUCUGAUCUAAUUGGGCUCCUCUCUUUCUUUUUCUUUUUCUUUUUCUUUUUUCGAUGAGAUUGGGCUCCUCUCUUUCUGGUGCUGAUUAGAAAACUUACAAAUACAUAUACAUUUACAUUUACAUUUACAUAGAUGUCUUAUUAAUACCGUAUCAGCAAUCCUCGGUCCAAAUAAUAAUUUCUCCUAUGAUGAUAUUGAAUUUGAGGAGGAAGCUUUCCUUUCUAUGAUGAAUGAGGCAAAGGAGAGACGGGCAAAGUUAAAGGUAGCGGCUCCAACAAUCCCUAUGGAGAUUCGAGCUGAGAAGGCUCUUGAAGCAAUUUAUGUAUGUUGAUUUGGGAAGGACCCUAUCGAGGAAGAAGAUAAGAGACUAUUAAAAAUCAUGCUCAGUUCUGUAUUUGCAUCAGUUGGGCAAUCAGAGAUUCAGAGGAUUGUUGAAGAGAAGGGGAGGAGAGUAGCUGAAGGCGGUGAUGAGAACUAUGUUUUGGAGCCAAAACCCUUACCAAAAGAAGCUGUACAACUGCAAAUGAAGGACCUUGAAUUCCUUAAACAAAACAGGGACUCUUAAUCAAAGUGCUGCAUGCCCUUGAUGCUAUUGUGACCAUAGUAAGUAAUUGCUUGAUCAAAUAUUGAGAGCAAAGUUGCAGGAGUUUUAUCAUUUUCUGUGGUAGCAGUAAGUCACACUGAAAGUGGUCACAAAUACUUCUAAGUUCAAACUUCCAUUGUUCCUAUGGUUCAAAAUUUUAUUUCAUGGAUUUACGUUCUUUAUUCGAUAACAUACAAUUUACGUGCUUUUUUGAGGCAUUAGAAGCUUACAGGCACUUUUCAAAUUCCAAAGAAAUGUAUUGUCUUCAUUUAGUUAUACUAGUGGCAUGGUUGCAACCUAUUAUAAAACUAGCACUUGAAAGAA